rnacentral:rRNA from 1 species
GACAGAGGGUGCGAACGUUGCUCGGAAUUACUGGGCGUAAAGCGCGUGUAGGCGGGUGAUCAAGUCAGGUGUGAAAUCCCUGGGCUCAACCCAGGAACUGCACUUGAAACUGGUUGCCUUGAGUGUUGGAGAGGGAAGCGGAAUUCCUGGUGUAGAGGUGAAAUUCGUAGAUAUCAGGAGGAACACCGGUGGCGAAGGCGGCUUCCUGGACAAUUACUGACGCUGAGACGCGAAAGCGUGGGGAGCAAACGGG